UAAACGAGUUGCCAUAAUUUGUUUUGUUCAUUUGAUCGGCCGCAUACUCUUGUUCUCGAAAAUCCAGAACUCAAAAUGAGCCCAAAAAGAAAAUCGUCCACAUUUUGUCAAAGACUUUGCCAUAAUUUGUAAUAGAGCUCCAUCUUUUCAUCUGAUAUCCCGAGUCCUUUGCUAACCUCCAAAAUCUGAAAGUCCUGAGCCUCCGUGCCCGUUUCUCGGUUGUUGCUGGGGGUAUAAGGUGGAGCGAGGCGGGGCUGUCGACUAUGGGGUGGAACCGGAGGUGGUGGUGAACCGAAAAUCGUAGCAGCAGAGGGCGAUUUCGGAGGAGAGUGUCUGGGUGUUUGAAGAUGGCUCGUAUGGUUCUUGGUUUAUAAACCGGUGACUGGAAAUGGAGGUUUUCCUGAUGAAGAAGAUAAACAGUGGCUGUGAGGGUUAUGGAAAUGGAAGGCAGCAGGUCUACGGUUUUGGCUAGAAGCAAGGCAAAGUCUGGUCUCCGGUUGGGACUAUCCGAGAGGAAAGGCGGAAGGGGAGCAGCAGCGAGAGGGGAGUUUCUGCGAGGGGAGGGGUUUCUGCGAAAAUGAGAUUUGCGAAGGUGAGGUUUUUUCUGCGAGGAUUGGAUGCUGCGAGGCUCGAGGGUUCUCGGGAGGGCUGUGAGAGGAUUUCGGAUGAGCAGCUUUGAGGAUGAGCAACUUAAGGUUCAGAGAGACUUCUCGGAUACGAGGAAUGAGCAGGUUUCUAUUGUUUAUUGAUUUUGGUUUUGCAGGUGGAGGCUUUGAUUAGCAGCCAGCUUGGAUAUGUAUAACUUAAUAAACGAGAUAUUAAGAAAUAAUGAACAUAUCAUUUUUGAUUAAAAAUAUUCUUUAUAAUAAAGCUGUUGAAAAUUUGAUAGAUUCAAAUACGAAUUGUCAUUUCUGAUCUUUAAUAACAUGAAAGAACUUUGAUCUUCAAAUUCAACCUUUGAUGCCAACUUUAGGAUUUUAGAUUCAACAAUGAAAUGACAAGUGUUGAAAAAUAAUUUUUGUAGAUGAAUCUAACUCAACAAUAAACACAAAAUCUGUCAAAGUUUUU